GGGGAAUAUUGGGCAAUGGGGGAAACCCUGACCCAGCGACGUCGCGUGAGGGAAGAAGGUCUUCGGAUUGUAAACCUUUGUCAACAGGGAAGAAGCAAGUGACGGUACCCUUGGAGGAAGCCCCGGCUAACUACGUGCCAGCAGCCGCGGUAAUACGUAGGGGGCAAGCGUUAUCCGGAAUUAUUGGGCGUAAAGAGUGCGUAGGUGGUUUUGUAAGCGCGGGGUGAAAGGCUAUGGCUCAACCAUAGUAAGCCUUGCGAACUGUAAGACUUGAGUGCAGGAGAGGAAAGCGGAAUUCCUGGUGUAGCGGUGAAAUGCGUAGAUAUUAGGAGGAACACCAGUGGCGAAGGCGGCUUUCUGGACUGUAACUGACACUGAGGCACGAAAGCGUGGGGAGCAAACA
rnacentral:rRNA from 2 species